GGGGUGGGGGGGCUCCAAUUCACCUGCCUCACCCUCCACCACCAGCUGGGCAACCCCCAGAAUGAGCUCCCUCUGCUGCCUUUCCACCCUCCCAUUCUGAAAACACAGCUGGGGCUGGAAGAGGGGUAGGAUGUUGCUAGGGCAGAGUGGAUGCAAGCUCACAGCUGCUCUAAACAGCAGCUUAAUUCUCCAACCCCCAAAACCCAACAGCAAACAUCUGCUGGGUCCAGGUGAGUGUUGUAACUCAUGGCACUUCCUGCAUAGCGCCAUGAGUUACAGUGGGGAGCUGCUUUUCUGCCUGCACGUGAAGAGACGCUUAAGUGGGAAAGACAUCUGCACAGAGCAGAAGAGGGCAAUGGAGGAGCUGCUAUAAUUGUCCUUCAAAGUCACGGCUUGCCCACUCAGUGGCAGUGGUGAAUUCUGGUGCUUGAGGGUCUGACAUGCUCCAAGACCCAGAAAUACAUCACUGAGGAGGCUCCAGGCUUGUCCACCCUUUGCCACCUUCAAGAAUGCCAAAGACUGAGCAAGGAAGAGCAGCCUCAGAGGGACACCUCCCAGCAUCUUCACCAGUAAACAUCCAGCUGCAGUGCUGCUUAUGGGCAAGGGUGGAUGGGUUGCAGACAGGGCAUGCUUGAGCCUAUCUGGGCUAGAACUUGUUGCUACCCUUAGUUUUUCCAUUACCAAGAGCAUGCCUACAGGAUGGGACUUAUGGGAGUUGAAGGGAAAGGUGUAAAGGUAAAGUCACAGUAAACUCUGGCAUGAGUACAAUACAAAGGGGCCUUAUGUUACUGUAGCUAAACCUUGCACUACAGCAACCCAAGUUUGCUUCAGCUCUGAAUGAGAGCAUCUACGCAAGUGCUUUACCUUCACUUCUUUAGUUAACUCAUUUAACUUUCCAGACUGUCCUCCUGUUGACAAGCCCUCCAAGACUCCUUGCCUUCGAGAAGCAGGGCUAUAGUCACAGGGCACAUCUUUUCUCUGGCAAGGAGCGAGUGCUUCAAGCUUUUCUGCUGCAUAAGGCAAGUACCCUCUGCCUGAUAAACACAGAAACACAGCCCCAGGGAAAACGUCCUUCGUAUUUGGUGAGUCAUUUCCCUAGCACCAUUCCAGUGUUGCUUCACUUUUGUGUAACUCCACUAGAUAUGGGUAAAAUCACUUCUUCCUCCAACUUUCCCUUAAGAUCUGCUGCUGUUAAAUUUGUGUGACUUCCAUGGUGUAGAAUAAGAGUUGUACAGAACUUUGUAUUAAGUCCCAGAACCUGUAAAACACUUCAGUUCAUGUUUCAUAUUAAGCACAUGCUGAAGUCUCUCUCUCUUCUGCAAAGCAUUUAAGCAUGUGCUUAAAUCCCAUUAAAGCCAUUGCCAUGGCCAGUCAGUCAUUGUAAAAGGCCUUUAAACCAGUUGCGUGUCUCACUUUUUUAUCACGUGGUUAAUUUGAUAAGAAUGAUGAUAUGGUCAUGGCAAAACAUCAAGAUAGGCACCUAAGGUGCAAUUGCAAAAUUCCCACUAGUGUAUGCAAAGCAGGUGGUUUUGCUUACGUUUUCCUCUUGCUAGUAUGUACCUUAGACUUACCAAAGAAAGAUAAGUGAUCAAUAGGGGACAAAUACCAACUCAUAUAAUUUCUUAUUUGCAUAUCCACAUGUAUUUUCUGUCAUGCAAUUGUCUGAAUGCUCCCAUCUUCAUGUGUUUUGAGUGCUUAAAUACAGAGUCACAGUGCAAAAUGUAUUAAUGUAUUAAUUGGUGCGAAAUUUGGCCAGGGGCAAAAUGUUACUUAGAGGGACACUUGCAUCAUUGUUUAUUCACAGAGGAAUGCUAUGUAUAUCUUGGCAAUGUUCUUCAACCUAGUUGGACCCAGAAAUUUGGCUUUUUGUCCUUUCAACAGUCAACUAAAGGGUAGAAAAAUAUCUGGAGAAUUUUCAUAGAAACAAGUAGGCAACAGUUGUAUGUUGGAAGAGGAAGAGUUGGCCAAUCCAGUCUCCUUCCUUUAAAUUGCUUCUUCUUCCUUCCCCACAAGCUAAACUUGAAAGUCUGUAUGAUAUCAGUGUAAAUGCACUCUUUGCACUGGGUCUUUUCUGCAGACAGUAGAAUUAAGCCAGUAGCUGGAAGAUCUGCAAGUUAUAUCAACUUUUAGCUUCCUAGCCAAUCAGCAUGGGCCACUGUGGCUUCAGCCAACUCGAGAAACUCAGCAUAGUUUCCAAACCCCAAUCCAGAAUGCAGUUUUUGACAGACUUGCUAAACAUUACAUGCAAAUUGAACAUUAAACAAAUCGCUUCCUUCUCAAGCCUGCUCAAGGAGUUUCAUUACAUUGUUCUGUUUUUCUUGGUACCUAACAACUUCAUGCCGGUGUCAUUUAAAACAGAUUUUAGCCAUUUCAGAAGUCUGCAAAAAUUAUCUGACAAUAAUACACAUUUGGUUUCAGUUUCUGGUGAGUAACUGCUCCUUAAACAUGGUUUUGUGGUAACUUGUAAACUCAAGUCGGCUGCCGCACGCUGUGAAAGUCAGACUAGAGGAGUGAUGAGGUGGUUAUUGGUCCCAGGUGAUUCAGGGCAUAAUUUUGUUGCUUCAUUUAUGUCUUUGCACUCUGCUGGGGUACAUUUUAAAGUUUGUGUUGCUUUGACUCUGAAGCCUUUGCCAUCCUCUUGCCAUAAUAAUCACGCUUUUCAGAAAUUCUUCCUUCAGCCAAACAGUUCAGAGUCCCAGCAUCUGGAGUGAGUCACCGGACCUCUUUUUGUGACACUUUGGCGAGCUUCAAUUAGAUGCAUUUUGAAGCAAAAUCCCCUUUGGAUACUGUUGCUUCCUUUGAGAUGUUUGUGCUGUGGCCAGUAUUACAAUUCAAGCGUAUCUUUACAGAAAAAGAGGUUUUUUAGUCUUAGCAGUAGUACAACAGGGAUGCCUUAGACUUGGGGCACUUGGAUUGGCUUCAUCCUGGACUCCCCAUAGCUGGGCUUAAAAUAAUUCAAAAAGAAAUUGUGGGCCUCAUCAUGUCACAUGCUAAUCAUGCGCACCGAUUUUUUAGGUCUGUGAAGUCCCGGGCGUGUGUAAAUCAGGAGAAACAGGCACGAAUUGGGAGAAACGAUCAAGAAAUCAGUAGGGUGAAGCUGUUGUAAAGUCAGACUAGAAGCGGGUGUGUUUCUUCUCUCCUCAGAAAGGCAGAGGCAUUCAGCACCAGGAAGGAUGGCAACCCAAAGGCCCAGUGAUGGGUGGUCCUGUCUCCUCCUGCUCUCAUUGACUUUGGUGGAAGGGAAGAUGGGAACAUUUGGGAUUUAGGAAGUUAGGCCCUCAGUACUGGGUCUUAUAGACUGACUGAAAUUGGUCUUAUUUCUGGCCAUCACUUUCUCCCAUCUCAAUUUCUACCAAAACUCUUUCAGAGGUUUAUUUUCUCUGGAAGGAGAAGAUGUUGCAAGGACACAGUUCACAUGAAAGUUACUUUACAUCCAUUGAAAAACAUAGUCACAAGACAGUCCUGGGACCAUGGUCAUCUGACCCUAACAGAGACGCAGUUGGGUCCAGAUUUGGGGGGUCACUGUUAACUUGAGCAGCCCAACCCUGCACCUGCGCUCUGGGGCUGCCCAGGGGAGCAAGGACUAUGCAGACCCCCGAGAACAUGGGUUUGGUCUUACGCCGCAGCAGUCACAAUGAGCACAGAAAAAGCAAGUGAACUGCGUGAUGGCAGGACAGUAGGCCUUUCUCCUUUGGCGUGAAAGUACUCCCCAGAGUUGUGGGUCAAAAGGCUCCACCAUGGGUGGCAGCUGCCGAUGGUUUUGCCUUGGGAGUCCCGGCUCUUAGUUUAAAUGAGAAGAAAAGCAACACAACGGAAAGAUGUUGAGGUUCCAGUUGAAAGACCUCCUGUGCAGAGUCUCUGGUGCCUGCAUUUGGCAUUGGGGAAGGAGCAUUGUCAAUUAAAUCUCAAGCACAAGUUGGGGAAGUGGGAAAAUAAUUGGCCACUCCUGUGGUUACCAUGAAUGACUUCAUUGCCCAAAGGGAAAUGCAGUUCUGUUAAUUACUUCCUAAAAGUGCUCAUCCACAUGAAAAAAUAAUGGGCCUGCUUGCUCCGGGAACUUCAUUCUCUGAAGUGAAGGGAGCCCAUGUUUGGCUUUGGUAGCAAACAGUUGUUUCUGCCAUACAGUCUGUCGGCGUUACUACAGUGAGUACAACACGGCUGCUUUAACUUCACAAAGAUAUUUAAGCCCUGAAGGGUGUAGGCGUGGACCUACCUUGAAUCACCAAACUCACCUAGGUGCUUUUGCAAAUCCCAGUAGACACCUAUCUGUGUCCAAACACCUUUGAGCAUCCUGUCCGUAGACCCAAACCCAUCAGGAUCAAUGGGAAGUCCCAUAUUGUCUGCAGCAAGCUUUGGAUUGGGUCCUUAGGCAUCUGGCUGGAUUUAAACAAUAUCUGUAUUCUCCACAGAAUAGCGUCUUCCUUGAACAUCAUGUGUUUGGAUCACUAACUAACCUGUUCUGUGCCACCACAAUGACUGAGGUGCUGACAACCCUGCUUGAAGCGGGUCUUAUAGCAGCGGGUUUUUCCCCUGAAGACAAAGCUAACUGUAGAAAGCUCUGUUCUGUUUUACUUUGCUAGGGAUUUGGGAUUUGCUUGGUUUUCCCUUCCCUCCAGAAACCAAACACAGUAGCCCUUGGGGAGGAGGGGGGCUCUCUCUCCGAGUCUCUCUGUAAAAGUGAAUGGCUGUCUGUCUGUGCACAAGGUCUGCCUGUCGGCAAAACGGAGCAGUCGCAGGUUGCUGUUCUGUACAAUUAACCAUUUCCACUUCUGUCUUGCAAGCAGCACAUCGCACUCCUCUGCCACUAUAAUCUGCAUCACUGUUAUACUCAAGUCAAUGAAUAAAGUUCUGUGCUUUAUUCUUACUGGGUGGGUGCCAGCUGUUUCAUUUAUUCCUUCGUUUCUCGUCUUCACAGCAGCUAUAGAACAGGACGUUGAAGGAAAAGAGACAGAACAACUGACCAAGGCAGCUAAGUUGUACAGGACAUUUGCAAACCUGGGGUGGGGCUGAAGGUUUCUUGUAAGCAGCUCACUAUAAAUACAUGCAUGUACAAAUGAUUUCCUUUGCGACAAAAAGGCACAAAGCCAUCAGAAAUGAGAGAUGCUUGUGUUGUUGUGUAUAUGCUUGCUUUGUAGUUUUCCUCUGUGUGUGUCCAGUUCUGAUCUAAGCCUUUGCUCAGCAAGGUAGUUAAGCAUGUAAGCCACUCAAUGAGCCCCUUUACUUGCUUGAAGGUAGACAUCUUUAAAUACCUCACCCAAGGCAGGACUUUCGUCCAGUCCCAUGGACCAUCUGUGGAGAAGAGCGUGGAGGUGUCCCUGGAAGCAGGCUGCAGGACCGUUCUGCUCAUCAAGGUGCCAGGAUGUGAAGAUUGAAGAUCCAGCAGCAUUGAAAGGAGAAGUUUGCUGCACUGGUGCUGAGAUCAAACAAGUGUCAGACCCCCACUGUGACCCACCGCAUGAAGUGACUUCCCUUUGUGAUCAGUCUUGAGCAUACAGUGCUAGACCUGAAUGAUAAACUGCACAGGUAGCUAAUUGACUCAGCACUGGGAGGCUGUCAGAGCCAAAUGCCUUUGCAGAGACAUAUGCAAGCUCUGAGGCUAGCAUCUGUCACUGAGCUGAGCCCUGGGAACAAAGUGAUGGGGCUGCUUCUCUGGGGAGCAGGUGUUUGGUGCUAUGUUGCAAACAGCACCAGCCUCAGCUUUGUUGCACACCUAAUUCCAGAAGCAUAAGCCGCUUUGGUGAAGAGGGAUGUACUUAUUCCAUGUGCUGGAGAACCUGCUCCCUACGUGAUGGAGCACAGGUGUGAAGGGACCUGACAGCUGCUUGGAGAAUCAUGUUCACUGCAUAACAUCUGCCCUGAGAUCCUUGGCAAAAUCAUUCCUACAGGUUCAGCUCCACUCACAGCUGCAUGAAGAGUGCUGGUGUAAGCAGGACUCCAGUGAGAAGUGGGAUUUACAUCCACUACAAGGCCUGGUCUUGGAGCCACCCUGGUAUACACUAAAUUUCGAUGGGCAAAACUGCCCUGUUGACACCCCCUUGCCAUGCAUCUAUGCCUCAUAUUGACCCCAGCUCCCUGAGAACAGUGCAGGUGUCCUGUACGGCAGCUUUCCCAUAGCUUGGCACUCAUCCCUACACACAAUGCAUCAUGUUUUUUGCCUGAGACGUGCAUAACUAUAAUGUGUUAUCACAAGCAGCGAAGCAUGGAAGAGAUCUGGGGAAAUGCGGUGACAACUGAAACAGUGGUGGUAACAUUUGCUAGUGCUGAUAGGUCUUAUCUUAUCAACUGACAGCUCUUACCUGUGGCCAGGCUGUAAAUACUAGGUAGACACUGGCACUUUGUCUAAACUAAGACUUCUGCCAUUGCCAUGAUGGAUUGGAGCUGAAAGCAACAGUGGGAAAUCUUUGUUUAAAAGACCAUAGUAUGUCAGGCUGUGGUAGAGACGGUAUGACCCAAAGCAUGGACCAAGAGCCCGCUGUUCUGCUGUGUGACAGUCAUAUCACCGCUACAUGCCUUUCCAACUGUCUUUUCUAGUUAAGACUUUAAGCUCACUAAGGCAGGUGCUUUGACCAGUGAGUGCCAGCUUUUUGCCGGGUGUGCUGCUAGCCCCUCGCUCCCCCUGUGUGCCACGCCAGUCCUCUUCUCUGCCUGAUCUGCUGCUGAGCUGUCUGUCACCUCCUUCAUCUGUCCCAUGCCACUUGCUGCAGGCUGGCCACCCUAGCCUUAGAAGAUGUGUUUUUCUAAAAUACCAAUGACAAGGGGACUCCAAUUUUGCAUGCAGGUACAAUAGCUGUAACAUAUGAUCCUGUAGAAAGCAAUAAUAAAAUAGGGUUGACCCUGAUUAAAGGACACCAUUGUUUGCCACAAGUUUUCCCUGUAUGUCGUGAAGCUGUAGACAAGCUCAUAAUCCAGACCAGUUCUACAAUGAAUGAGUGAAUAAGCCCCUGUUGAGAAGUGCCUCUGUUAUGGUCCUGAAACCUCACUGGAUAUUAAAUGAGCACCGGGGGUGAUCUCUGUUGUACAGUGGUUAGCUCUUAGCCCUAAUUACCACUUUGUAGGGGAAAUCCCAGCUGGACAUAGGGACAUAAGCAAGAUUUAUUAAUGCAAUUAAGUGAAUUAGUCCUCCAGCAGGGAGCUCUUUAAAGGCACAGAGAAUGUAGAAGACAAUGGUAAGCGAAAGCUUGAGAUGUUGAUACCUAUCAUGUAGCUUGUAUUUCCUUUUUAUCAGGUACACAAUGAGUUUAGACCCACUCUCAGGACCAGGAUGUGAUGAUAAGCAACCGUAAUUCAAUUUUCUGCUGAGCUAUAAACAUUUGAUCUGUUUACUCUUCAGGGUAACGUACUGGAAAGUCAUCCGUCAAGUUAGCAAUCCUGAGUGCAGCGUAUCAAGACAGCUCAAUUCCUUUUGGGCUGAACCCCAGCUCGGAGAUCUGUGACGAUGCUGCUCAAAGAACGACCUGCUUUUACUGAAUCAAGAUCUCCUUCCUGCCAUGUGAGUGCCCCAACCCCCAGGCGACCGCAUCUCAGCUCAGCGCUCAUAGCAUGCAAUCUUCCUAGAAACAGGCUGUGCCCAUGAGAUGUAACCCUUGAGCUCAGAAAGUCGGCGCAGGAAGUGGCUGCGACAAGUCUCGGAAGAGUCCCCCAACUGGGUCCGCAUCCCUUGGUUUGGUUCGCAGGGGCCGUUCCAGUUCACGUGCUCCAGCUGUGACACCUCCACAACCUGCCUCCUCCACUGAUGUUUUCUUUCUGGCCCUUUCCUUACCUUGAUUGGUCCCAACCUUAUUUUCCAAACAAUAAUAGCACACUAAUAGCUGUAUCUUUCCAACCUCCCCACAUUUUACUUUUAUGUUCACUUGGUUCCUACUUCCCUGGGCUAAUUGUUAUUUCCACCCCAGUGGAUUUCCACAGCAGCUCUCCAAACCAUUCCCAAACAAUGACAUUUGUGGAUUAGUUCAAACAUUAUGUGUUCACGCCCCAGCGGGCAACAUUUUCUGAGACUCUGGAACCCAUUUAACUCCCAAAGAAGGUGGAAAAGGAUCUAUGAUGGGAAAAUGCUGUGGCAUAAACAGACACGUAACAGGAAGGGAAAUACAUUAAAUCAAAUGAGCUCUCAGACUCCAUUUGUAUCAUGUUUGUGUCACCUGCAGCCGAAGAGUUUUGUCAUCUAUUGAAAUUUUUUAAAGGUAAGAAGAAGAGAGAAAAUUCCAUUCCCUAAAUUAUGCAAUGGCAAACCAUCCUGUCGCUAUAUUAUUCUUGCCUCUGGUAUUGCCCCUGUAAUCCAGAACUGUUGCUAUUCAAAAGCAGUGCAUCCAGAAUUAAAUUAGCUGCAUCUAUCAAUCCUGGCACAGGUGCUGUCAGGAGCAGAGUUCCUGUCUACAAUUAUCCUCCAGUCCAGGAAAUAACCUCUGUACUCAGGGCCACUGACGGGUUUGGUCGGUCUCCUCUGCACUUGUGUAGGGCAUAGCAGAGCUUGAAUGUCCUCUCCAAAAACCUCCCUAUCCAUUUAUUUGUUCUUGUUCCUGGCUGAGUGCUGUUAUGCACAGAAACUGGCCACUCUUGCUGUCUCCAUGGAAUGCAAUUGUGAAAACUUCUCCAGGCAGCUGGUCCUGAAGCACCAGGUAUUUUUACUGUUAGUGCGGUGUUGACAGCCAAGGAAUUCACUUUUGAACAAUAAUUCAUGUGCAUGGAGGAGAGUUAUUUUUCCCAGAUGCUUUUUUCAAAUGAAAUCAACCACCUCCAGCACCAGCCCCACAGCAAGUCAUUAGCAAAGCAGAUCCACUGAAAACGCUGUGAAGCAGCAGAAUGAUGUCUUUGGACUCCGGUUGUUUGCAGCUCACCGCUUCUGGUUUGUGGACUCAGGCCUAUAAACCAAGGAGGGAACUUCCACCUCCUCACCCUAACCCCCUAUGCACAAAACUUCAACUUUUGCAAGUGGAUUGCCAUGCCUUUGAGUGAUUACAGAAUCCUUCCCCCGCUGUGGGCAGGCUGCAACCCAGCAUGCCAGAAGCUUGUUGCAUCCCCUAUGCUAGACCGGUGUUUGUUGCCGUCUGCAACCUGUACAGAAGCUUCUGGUCGCGCAAUGUUUCCUCCAGGCCAAUGUAUUUGGAAGAUGAACUCUAGAUUCCUUAUUUGACUGCACGACCCUCCUAUGUAGAUACUUCUAAGGGCUAAUACGGGGCCAGUACAGAAGUUCAAUGCAAGGUGGUAGAUUGAAUUAGGGAGAACUGUGUUUUAUCCCUGGCUGGGCUGCUGGCCUGCUGGGUGGCCAUAAACUAGUCCAUGUGAGUGGGUAGUCCAUCUGACUAUUUCCCCAUCUGUAAAGUGGGGGAUAAUGCUUUGAGUCUCCACUUGAAAAGUACCCAGUUGGAGCUGAGUACUGUUAUUAAAAGUUCAGAGGAGAAGACGUUGCCCCAAGCAGCAUUCCUACAGAGACCAUAUAUUUCUAAUGGGGCCAUUUCAAGCAUCAAAUGAACAUUCAAGACAUUUUAGCUGAGCACAGCCUUUAAGAAGAAAAUCUCCCUUGAGACAAUAGGAAGCCAGGAUCCAUUUGGUGAUAAGCAAGGUCGUGCCUGUUGGUUUGCUGAUUGCUGGAGCCUCCUAGCACUGGAAUGCAGGACACAACAGCCUCAUCCCUCAUAACAGAGCGCUACACUAUAACUUCAUAAUAGGCAUAGUGAAGCUGGCCUAUUUAAAUGGAAUACUUAAUGAUGCCGGGGACGGCAGGAAAAAUAUCGUUCUCUGUUCUGUGUGGAAAAUGGAAGCUACUAUUUUGUUGUUCAGCAAGGCUGACUUUUUUACCCAGAAUUAAUUACUAAUGCAGCAAGAAGCAAAAAAUACACGAUUUGGCUAUCACAGAUGAGAUGCUUUGCUCCAGAAGUUAUUUCCAGUCGGCGCUGACAGGUCCUGCAGUCCCAUAUUUAUGGCAAAUGUGGGGGCCAUAAAGGAGAUGUGGCUACAUAAUUCCUUUUUUUUUUUUUUUUUACAUGUACUGGGAUUAAUUUUGUUGGAUUUAUGCUUUUCUAUAUGGACCGUGGAUUCCUUGUUUUCACUGAAGCAGCAUUGACCUCAGAAGUGUGCUUUGGUUAUUGACUUUGGCCGGGUCGACAUGGUUUGUGUCUAAAGAAAAACCAAGGGCUGGAAAACCUUGUCUUUGGGGAGAUGCCAGAAUAAACAUCCUUUUGUGAGCUCACAAUUGACAUCAGACCACAGUUUAUGUAAUAUGUGAGCAUGAUGAUGAUGGAGAAGGAUUGAAAAACAACCCAAUGAAAAUGAAAUUUGGCAAAAUGUAAUGUUUUCCCAUUAGCUGAUAAAAUUACUUUUCUUUU